AGUGAACGCUGGCGGUAGGCCUAACACAUGCAAGUCGAACGGCAGCACAGUAAGAGCUUGCUCUUACGGGUGGCGAGUGGCGGACGUGUGAGGAAUACAUCGUAAUCUACUUUUUCGUGGGGGAUAACGUAGGGAAACUUACGCUAAUACCGCAUACGACCUACGGGUGAAAGCAGGGGAUCUUCGGACCUUUCGCGAUUGAAUGAGCCGAUGUCGGAUUAGCUAGUUGGCGGGGUAAAGGCCCACCAAGGCGACGAUCCGUAGCUGGUCUGAGAGGAUGAUCAGCCACACUGGAACUGAGACACGGUCCAGACUCCUACGGGAGGCAGCAGUGGGGAAUAUUGGACAAUGGGCGCAAGCCUGAUCCAGCCAUACCGCGUGGGUGAAGAAGGCCUUCGGGUUGUAAAGCCCUUUUGUUGGGAAAGAAAAGCAGCAGGUUAAUACCCCGCUGUUCUGACGGUACCCAAAGAAUAAGCACCGGCUAACUUCGUG
rnacentral:rRNA from 1 species